GCGCCGGUGGUGUAAGGUGAACAUCGCUGCCCGGUAAGCAGAAGAUGCGGGUUCGAGUCCCACCUGGCGCA
rfam:Heligmosomoides polygyrus genome assembly, scaffold: HPBE_scaffold0006939